UUUCCGUAGGUGAACCUGCGGAAGGAUCAUUAAUAAUAUGUGUUUUAAGGCUCUUUUUUAAUUGCAUACACACCGUGUAUGCAAUGUCGGGGGUGAGUGUUCUUUCGAGCGAAUCGGCUCCUAACAGCACGUAUACAUCAUCUCUUUCUCUGAAAAAUAUUAUGAAUAACACAAUCCAAAAGACAACUUGGAACAACGGACCUCUUGGCUCUCUCAUCGCUUAAGAACGCACCACAACAGAAGAGCCCACGCCUGAACUCCCGUCACGAAUAUUCGAAU
rnacentral:misc_RNA from 1 species